rnacentral:lncRNA from 1 species
AGGCAGCAGAGGAAAUCCCACAACCAUGGAGAUGGGUUCAUGGGCUCAGGUCUCUUCUGGGCUCUAAACAGCCUGCUACAGUUCUUUGCAAGUCCUUGGUCAGCAACCCCUCUUGUUCCCCUCAGGAAUGUUGUGAACAUCUCCCCCCAUUCAGCCUCAUCAUCCUCACUCUGGAAGGUAGACUGGACACCAUUAACUUACGAAGAGAGCAACGGAAAUGAGGGAAGAAGCGCGUCAGUCCCUCCCACCACAUCUACGCGGUCUUCUCUCUCCACCAAGGCCAGAGGAAGACAUUUACUGUUUGCUGAAUUAGAAAUCAGACGGAAAACCAUCCCAGGCUUUGAGUGCUCAAAGACAUGAUCCAGAAGUCAAGCCUUUCUUCCCAUUCUAUUAUACCCUUCUCAGGUUUGUCCCCUCUUGGUCACAAGAUGUCUCCUGUAGCUCCAGACAUUCACACAAGACUCAAAGCACAACAGGAGGGAAGAGGGCUCCCCAAGACCCUAUUUCUACAAUUCUCUAAUAAGGAAGAAAAGUCUUUCUCAUAUACCCCCCUGUAAUCUAGAUGGCCAAAAACUGUGUCACACUUACUUCUCUCUAAACCAGUCAGUGGUCAGUGGGAAUUGGUUUAGACUGGGCACAUUGUCCACUGAACAAGACCCAGGGUUCUGUUAGCAAAGAAAAGAAGGUGGGGGAAAGGACUAUUGGAAAGAAAAUUAAGAAUGUGUGCCACAACAAGGUAUAGAGCUGAGUGAUAUUCUUUUAGACAUUCUCACCAAAGUAUCUAACCAAUGUAUAUCUGAAAGAAAACAGUGAUUCCAUUGCACCAAAAUGACAAACACCAAUAUUGUAGUACAGCGUGUUCUCUAGAAAUUGAGUAUUUAAGGAGCAUUUCCUUUUUUAAAAAAAGAUUUUAUUUAUUUUUUUGACAGAGAGAUAUUAAGGAGCAUUUCCUAAGAAAUUGCUAACUGUAAGACAUUGUGCUAGGUCUAUCAGUGGGCUUGAAGAUGAAUAAGAAAUGGUUGGUCCCUAUCCUACCUCAAUAUAGUUAUUCCAGAAGAGACAGGAUAGAUCUAGUGAGGGUUCUCAACCCUGGUGGCACAGUCCAGUCACUUGGGAAGCUUGUAAAAUUCUGGCUCCAGGGCCAAGUCCUAAAACAAUGAAAUGAAACCCUUACAGGCAAAACUGGGUCAAAGGUUAAAGCUUCAGAAUGGGUGAAGAUGCAGAGAAAGGGGAACCCUCUUGCACUGUUGGUGGGAAUGCAAGGUGGUACAGCCACUCUGGAAAACAGUGUGGAGGUUCUUCAAAAAGUUGAAAAUAUAUAGAGCUACCCUACGACCCAGCAAUUGCACUACUGGGUAUUUACCCCGAAGAUACAGAUGUAGUGAAAAGAAGGGGCACAUUCACCCCGAUGUUCAUAGCAGGAAUUGUCCAAGAUAGCCAAACUGUGGAAGGAGCCGAGAUGCCCUUCAACAGAUGAAUGGAUAAAGAAGAUGUGGUUCAUAUACACAAUGGAGUAUUAUGCCUCCAUCAGAAAGGAUGAAUACCCAACUUUUGCAUCAGCAUGGAUGGGACUGGAGGGGAUUAUGUUGAGUGAAAUAAGUCAAGCAGAGAAAAACAAUCAUAUGCUUUCACUCCUACGGGGAACCUAAGGAAUAGCGUGGAGGACCAUAGGGGAAGGGAGCAAAAUCCAAAGGGGGAGAAAUCAGAGAGGGAGAAGAACCAUGAGAGACUAUGAACCCCGAGAAACAAUCUGGGGCUUUCAGAGGGGAGGAGGGGUAGGGGUAACAGGGUGAUGGGUAUUGAGGGCAUGUGCUAUGUAACGAGUGCCCUCCUUAAUGCCCAUCGCACAUUUAACCCCCCCCCCCCCCGCUGCCCAACAUCUCUUUCUAAUGUUGCUUUUUCCUAGGAUCAGGCACCAAGUUCAGAAUAAUACAACUGAUGAGGUAUUUUACACCAAAACCCAUCCUUAGCUGUUCUCCUAGAUGCCGGCUAGUACCUGACUCACAGUGUGACCUCACAAGCAAAGGUAGGGAGGGGUGUGUGUUAGCAAUAAUUAUAAUAGGUAUGCUUCAUGUAUGUUUCAUGAGAUCAACAGUAAACUGUCUUGUAGUUUAGGCUCACAACACAGGGAAAGUUGUCAAGUCAAAGAAGCUCAAGUUACUUUAGGUUUACCUUUUACUACUAUAGGAACUGGUAUCUCUUUUCAAGCAUUGUGGUGAUAGCAUUCAUGUUUGUGGGUAUAAGGGCUAGUGAAGUGGCUGUUUUAGUUUUUAGGAUUUUAUUUAUUUGUUUGGCAGAGGGAGAGCCAGGCUCCCUGCUGAGCAAGGAGCCUGAUGUGGGACUCCAUCCAGGAACCCUGGG